UACGUAGGCAGCGAGCGUUGUUCGGAAUUAUUGGGCGUAAAGAGCGUGUAGGCGGCCCGACCAGUCCGCUGUGAAAGUCCAGGGCUCAACCCUGGAAUGCCGGUGGAUACUGUCGGGCUAGAGUCCGGAAUGGGCGAGUGGAAUUCCUGGUGUAGCGGUGAAAUGCGCAGAUAUCAGGAGGAACACCAAUGGCGAAGGCAGCUCGCUGGGACGUGACUGACGCUGAGACGCGAAAGCGUGGGGAGCAAACAGG
rnacentral:rRNA from 1 species